rnacentral:rRNA from 1 species
UACGGGGGGGGGUAAGCGUUGUUCGGAAUUACUGGGCGUAAAGGGCUCGUAGGCGGCCUGCUAAGUCGAACGUGAAAUCCCUGGGCUCAACCCAGGAACUGCGUCCGAUACUGGUUGGCUUGAAUCCGGGAGAGGGACGUGGAAUUCCAGGUGUAGCGGUGAAAUGCGUAGAUAUCUGGAGGAACACCGGUGGCGAAGGCGACGUCCUGGACCGGCAUUGACGCUGAGGCGCGAAAGCCAGGGGAGCAAACGGG